CCGGCACGGUGGAGUAACACGUAUCCAACCUCGCCGUCUCUCUUGGCCAGCCUUCUGAAAGGAAAGAUUAAUCCAGGAUGGCAUCAUGAGUUCACAUGUCCGCAUGAUUAAAGGUAUUUUCCGGUAGACGAUGGGGAUGCGUUCCAUUAGAUAGUAGGCGGGGUAACGGCCCACCUAGUCAACGAUGGAUAGGGGUUCUGAGAGGAAGGUCCCCCACAUUGGAACUGAGACACGGUCCAA
rnacentral:rRNA from 1 species